rnacentral:misc_RNA from 1 species
GAUGAAGAACCGUAGUGAAAUGCGACAAGUAAUGUGAAUUGCAGAAUUCCGUGAAUCAUCGAAUCUUUGAACGCACAUUGCGCCCCCUGGUAUUCCGGGGGGCAUGCCUGUCCGAGCGUCAUUGCUGCCCUCAAGCACGGCUUGUGUGUUGGGCCUCCGUCCUCCUCCCAGGGGACGGGCCCGAAAGGCAGCGGCGGCACCGCGUCCGGUCCUCGAGCGUAUGGGGCUUCGUCACCCGCUCUUGUAGGCCCGGCCGGCGCUUGCCGACACAUCAAUCUUUUUUCCAGGUUGACCUCGGAUCAGGUAGGGAUACCCGCUGAACUUAAGCAUAUCAAUAAGCGGAGGA